ensembl:lncRNA
AGCCUUCCUCUCGAAGCUUGUGGUUUUCAGGUGUGUUCACUUCAUUCGCUUCCCAGCCCCGCCCCCAGGAACGCAGACGUGCGCAGGUGCGCUGCGCUCUGCAGGGCAGGCGCUCGCGUGGGAGCGUGGAGAGGGGCGCGUGUGUGUGGGGGGGUUAUCCUGUCUCAAAGCAGGCCCAAGGGACCUCGACAUCUUCUAACGCAGCUCUGGCGCUGACCAAGGAGAAACCCAGCCCGCACCUCCUCCGGGCAGGACUCCACAGCCUCCUCUGGGCUCGCCGAAAACCCUGUCCUU